UUGCCAUCAUUUAGUUGGGCACUUUAGCGAGACUGCCGGUGACAAACCGGAGGAAGGUGGGGAUGACGUCAAGUCCUCAUGGCCCUUAUGGGUAGGGCUUCACACGUCAUACAAUGGUCGGUACAGAGGGUUGCCAAGCCGCGAGGUGGAGCCAAUCCCAGAAAACCGAUCGUAGUCCGGAUUGGAGUCUGCAACUCGACUCCAUGAAGUCGGAAUCGCUAGUAAUCGCGGAUCAGAAUGUCGCGGUGAAUACGUUCCCGGGUCUUGUACACACCGCCCGUCAAACCAUGGGAGUGGGUCUCACCAGAAGUAGGUAGCCUAACCGUAAGGAGGGCGCUUACCACGGUGGGAUUCAUGACUGGGGUUAAGUCGUAACAAGGUAGCCGUAUCGGAAGG
rnacentral:rRNA from 1 species